rnacentral:rRNA from 1 species
UACGGGGGGGGGCAAGCGUUGUUCGGAAUUACUGGGCGUAAAGCGCACGUAGGCGGAUUUGCCAGUCAGGGGUGAAAUCCCGGGGCUCAACCUCGGAACUGCCUUUGAUACAGCAAGUCUUGAGUUCGAGAGAGGUGGGUGGAAUUCCUAGUGUAGAGGUGAAAUUCGUAGAUAUUAGGAAGGAACACCGGUGGCGAAGGCGGCCCACUGGCUCGACACUGA